rnacentral:tRNA from 1 species
GCCCUGGUGGUCUAGUUGUUAAGAUUCAGCAUUCUCACCGCUAUGGCCUGGGUUCACAUCCCAGUCAGGGAA